rnacentral:rRNA from 1 species
UACGAACCGUGCAAACGUUGUUCGGAAUCACUGGGCUUAAAGGGCGCGUAGGCGGGCAAGCAAGUCGAAGGUGAAAUCCCACGGCUCAACCGUGGAAGUGCCCCCCGAUACUGCUUGUCUUGAGGGAGAUAGGGGCGUGCGGAACUUCCGGUGGAGCGGUGAAAUGCGUAGAUAUCGGAAGGAACACCGGUGGCGAAAGCGGCGCGCUGGAUCUCUUCUGACGCUGAGGCGCGAAAGCCAGGGGAGCAAACGGG